rnacentral:tRNA from 1 species
UCUCUGGUAGUAUAUCGGUUAGUACACGCACCUGUCAAACUGGAACUCAAAUUCCCCUUUCGCGCGAAAGCUGGGUUCGACUCCCAGCCAGAGAG